UACGAAGGUGUCAAACGUUGUCCGGAAUUACUGGGCGUAAAGCGCACGUAGGCGGAUUUGUAAGUCAGGGGUGAAAUCCCGGGGCUCAACCUCGGAACUGCCUUUGAUACUGCAAGUCUCGAGUCCGAUAGAGGUGGGUGGAAUUCCUAGUGUAGAGGUGAAAUUCGUAGAUAUUAGGAAGAACACCGGUGGCGAAGGCGGCCCACUGGAUCGGUACUGACGCUGAGGUGCGAAAGCGUGGGGAGCAAACAGG
rnacentral:rRNA from 1 species